rnacentral:snRNA from 11 species
AGCUUUGCGCAGUGGCAGUAUCGUAGCCAAUGAAGUUUAUCCGAGGCGCGAUUAUUGCUAAUUGAAACAAAGUACCACAAACUGGAUGGCUUUAAACAAUAGAAAUUGAUUGAUUCACACUUAGAGAGGCUAGAAAUCCAGAAUCAAGGAGCAAGAAUCAGCAAGGUUGAUUCUUUUUGGAGUCUCUGAGAGAG